rnacentral:lncRNA from 1 species
CUACUGCUCCACUUAAAGGAAGUUAAAACUGUGGAAGUAUUUUGGGGGUGAAGGUUAAAAUAUCUGUAAACCAAUUCAAUAGGAAUUACAAACGGAAGAAAUCAGUACAGUCAAAGGUUCCCUGCUUGUCAAAUAUGAUAUAACGUUUGUGUCGUGGUCCAAGAGCAGUCUCAGCACUGCUUUCCUUCAGUGUUUUGGAAAAUGCAAACAGACAUGUUAAGGCUGUGUUUCCAAGCCAAUUGUAUUCCCAAAGGAAGGCUCUGAGUAAGUGCUAGACAAGCUCGCCUGUUCCAGGACUGGCAGGAGGUUGCUGAAUCAUCCUGAGGCUGAAGAAAUCAGAGGGUAACUCAUGAUAAAAAUUCUGGAUGCUGGAUACAAUGAGAAGUGGCUUGAUUUUCCCCUCAAUGUGGAUAGAAUUCACAAAACUUGUUCCUGGAAUGGCUUCUUGGAAUAGCUAUGAACUGUCAGUCAUUUCUUUCAACCAUUUGCUUCAAAGCUGCAGUGCACAGGAAUUUUGGUUGGUCUCUUUUAUGAUUUCCACCUAAGGAAUGUACGCAAUACAUUUGGUUCACACACUGACAAAUAUGAGAGGAACACUUCUCUUAAAUUCCCUGUGGGUAAAGGAGGCCUGAUUACAUAUCACAAAGAUAAUACAACAACCUUGCAUUGCUAUUGAGAUGAAUCAACAGAAGAAUCUUCUUCCUAUGGAGAAAAAUGGGAGAGGUUAAUAAAUGCUAUAGAGAAGUUAUGCA